rnacentral:lncRNA from 1 species
CUUAGAUUACAAUCCAUGCCUAACCAAAGGAUGUGAUCAACUAUGUAAAGUUUCUUUGAACAAAGCAGAAUGUUCUUGCAUUUACGGAAAGCUGCAACCAAAUGGCAAGACAUGUAAGGAAGAGAUUAGCAAUCCAUGCUUAAUCAAUCAUGGUGGAUGUCAUCAAAUAUGUAAAAGAGAAUCGGACAAAGCGGUAUGUUCUUGCUAUUCUGGAGUGCUUCAACCUGAUGGCAAAACAUGUAAAGAAAAUCCAUGCUUAUUUAACGGCGGUUGUGAACACAUAUGCAGAGUAAUCUCAGGAAAAGCAGUAUGCUCAUGCCUUUCAGGAAUAUUGGAGCCAAAUAAUAAGACAUGUAGAAAUUUUUUUGAAGAUCCAUGUAUAUUCAAUGGUGGCUGUGAAGAAAAAUGUGUAAACAUUUUAGGUAGAGCUGUAUGUUCAUGCUUUGCAGGAAAUUUGAAUUUAGAUAGAAGAACAUGUACAAAAGUUCCAGCGACAUCCGUACCAUCAGAAUGCUUAAUUAGUUCAAUUGGUUUAAUAGAUGCGGAGCUACG